rnacentral:snRNA from 1 species
AUGACUUUCUCAGCCUCUUAGCUAAGAUCAGGUGCAGUAUCUAUUCUUAAUAUCUAGAUACGUAGGUCAAUAACUCGCUUGAUAUUAAAUAAAUCUUUUUAAGGGAUUAGUCCACCAAAGUAGUUUGCUACUAGGAUUCAUACGUGUCAUCCUUAUGUCCACCAAAAUAGCUUGAUACUAAGAUU